AUACGGAGGAUGCGAGCGUUAUCCGGAUUUAUUGGGUUUAAAGGGAGCGUAGGUGGGAUAUUAAGUCAGCUGUGAAAGUUUGGGGCUCAACCUUAAAAUUGCAGUUGAUACUGGUUUCCUUGAGUACGGUACAGGUGGGCGGAAUUCGUGGUGUAGCGGUGAAAUGCUUAGAUAUCACGAAGAACUCCGAUCGCGAAGGCAGCUCACCGGGCCGGACCUGACACUGAUGCUCGAAAGUGCGGGUAUCAAACAGGAUUAGAUACCCUGGUAGUCCGCACAGUAAACGAUGAAUACUCGCUGUUUGCGAUACACUGUAAGCGGCCAAGCGAAAGCGUUAAGUAUUCCACCUGGGGAGUACGCCGGCAACGGUGAAACUCAAAUGAAUUGACGGGG
rnacentral:rRNA from 1 species